rnacentral:tRNA from 1 species
AGUUCUAUGGUGUAAUGGUCAGCACCCUGGACUUUGAAUCCAGUGAUCCGAGUUCAAGUCUUGGCUAGAACCU